rnacentral:rRNA from 1 species
CCUACGGGAGGCAGCAGUGGGGGAUAUUGCACAAUGGGGGAAACCCUGAUGCAGCGACGCCGCGUGGGCGAAGAAGUAUUUCGGUAUGUAAAGCCCUAUCAGCAGGGAAGAAGAAAUGACGGUACCUGAGUAAGAAGCACCGGCUAAAUACGUGCCAGCAGCCGCGGUAAUACGUAUGGUGCAAGCGUUAUCCGGAUUUACUGGGUGUAAAGGGAGCGCAGGCGGCACGGCAAGCCUGAUGUGAAAGCCCGCGGCCCAACCGCGGGACUGCAUUGGGAACUACCGGGCUGGAGUGCCGGAGAGGUAGGCGGAAUUCCUAGUGUAGCGGUGAAAUGCGUAGAUAUUAGGAGGAACACCAGUGGCGAAGGCGGCUUACUGGACGGUGACUGACGCUGAGGCUCGAAAGCGUGGGGAGCAAACAGGAUUAGAUACCCCGGUAGU